GAUGAACGCUGGCGGCGUGCCUAAUACAUGCAAGUCGAGCGAACGGACGAGAAGCUUGCUUCUCUGAUGUUAGCGGCGGACGGGUGAGUAACACGUGGAUAACCUACCUAUAAGACUGGGAUAACUUCGGGAAACCGGAGCUAAUACCGGAUAAUAUUUUGAACCGCAUGGUUCAGAAGUGAAAGACGGUCUUGCUGUCACUUAUAGAUGGAUCCGCGCUGCAUUAGCUAGUUGGUAAGGUAACGGCUUACCAAGGCAACGAUGCAUAGCCGACCUGAGAGGGUGAUCGGCCACACUGGAACUGAGACACGGUCCAGACUCCUACGGGAGGCAGCAGUAGGGAAUCUUCCGCAAUGGGCGAAAGCCUGACGGAGCAACGCCGCGUGAGUGAUGAAGGUCUUCGGAUCGUAAAACUCUGUUAUUAGGGAAGAACAUAUGUGUAAGUAACUGUGCACAUCUUGACGGUACCUAAGCAGAAAGCCACGGCUAACUACGU
rnacentral:rRNA from 1 species